UCAACUUGGAAUUUUUAUUUGGUUUGUCUUAAUUAAUGUUAUGUUCCUUUGUUCAACCAAAAAAAAAAAAAAAAACUAACGUUCUUGAAGUUUUGAACACUUUCUCUCUCUAUUCUAUAGUCUCUUCCGAGAUCCGAUUCACGAAGCUUUACAGUUGCUGCAUUUUUUUUUGGGUGAAUGAACUGACAAAGUAGUAGUAAAGAUGAGUAUAUGUUAUCCUUCAACGCCUGGAAAGCUGGCAGUGACAAUGGGAAUGUUUGUUGGUGGUAUUUCUCUAUUCGUUGUUGGUAUUCAUUACUCCUACAAGAAUGUCGGUCCUCAGCAAGCUCGUACAAAAGCUCGAAGUGAUUUCGUUAGGGAGUAUCUUAGGAAAAAGCAUGGGUUCGGUGAGAAGAAGAAAUGAGGUAGAAGUGUCUAGUUUUUGCUUGCUUUCCAAGUUGUAUUUCGAGUAUUGACACAAUUUACAGUUGAUUUGUUAUGGCUUUGAACAUUAGAUGCCAAAUCGAAAUGAGAAGUUUCGAUUUGUGGAGUUGAUUGAUUAAGGUGUUGCUUGAUGUUGUAGGGAUUUUCUUUGAACUUUGCAUUCGUUAGUUAUGUUUUACUGAUGGAUGAUUUGUGGUGCAUGGUUGUUGUCUAUGUAGAGGAAUAGACUUUGGUUUUUAAAACGAAGAUAUUAAGAAAACGGGGAAACCUCGAAUUGUAGCCAUAUUUGUGGCCGGAGUUUCAGGCACAGAAAAGUUUUUAGAUGCAAGUAAACCAGAUCCUAGAGGUUUCUGUGCUUCCGAGGUUGUUGUAGAGGUGUGAGAGGAGGAAAGAUUUGUGCUGCAGCUAUGAAAAAAGUCAAAAAAUGGUAUCUGGCUUUAUCAAUACGAGCCUUAGUGUGCUAAGUUAUUGGUUGGAAACUGAUGCUGUGCUGUAUAUGCAAAGUUUCUGCUCGUUUGGACUGGGUUUUCAAGAUAUCUGGAUUGCACCAUUCUAAAAACCUGGCAAUCAUCGAGUUUUUGCAACAUCGGAUGUGAAACAUAACUAUGAAGGGCUCAUCAUUGAGAGAUUUUCUGUGACAAAAAAGAAAUACAACUAUCUGAAAGGAAGGUUCAAUGUGGAAUGUGAAUCUUUUAGCUUAUGAUUAAGAUGUACUAUCAUUUUGGAAGUUGAAGGAAAAGCCAAGUGGCUGUGCAUCAGUCUUUGGUCGAAGCACGAGGCUAAGAGUAGAUGUAUGUGUAUCUCAAGAGUAGAUGUAUGUGUAUCUCGAUGCUUCUAAGUGGCACGACUGUCUACUCUAUGGAGUUGACAGAAACAGGACACGAGGAUGAAGACUUAUUUGUAUUGAUGGAAGCUUUAAGAUUGUCGGAAAAUCCAUUACUUCAGGUAUUGGCAGAUAAUACCUUAGCUUUUUUUCUUAGUGAAGAAAAUAGAUCAGAACUUGUUGUACUGGUUUAUGUAUAUGUUUCUGCUAUGUACUGGGAAAAGGAAAAGAAGAAGAAAGCAUAAGAUAGUGCCCUAGUUGUUUUCCUUCCUGUGUAUUAAGAAAAGAAGUGGGAAUAAAAUUCUUAAUUCUUCAA